UCUUGGUGAAAUUUUCUUUGU
rnacentral:piRNA from 1 species